UUGAUCCUGCCGGAGGUCACUGCUAUUGGGAUUCGACUAAGCCAUGCGAGUCGUGAGGGUUCGGCCCUCGGCAGACGGCUCAGUAACACGUAGAUAAUUUGCCCUUAGGUGGAGGAUACCCUCGGGAAACUGAGAAUAAUACUCCAUAGAUCUAGACUGCUGGAAUGCUUUUAGAUUGAAAGAUUUAUCGCCUAAGGAUAAGUCUGCGGACUAUCAGGUUGUAGUCAGGGUAACUACCUGACUAGCCUACGACGGAUACGGGUUGUGAGAGCACUAGCCCGGAGAUGAUAUCUGAGACACGAUAUCAGGCCCUACGGGGCGCAGCAGGCGCGAAAACUUCGCACUGUGCGAAAGCACGACGAGGGAAUCCCAAGUGCUGGCUCGUAAGAGUCAGCUGUUUCUCUGUCUAAAAAACAGAGAGAGUAAGGGCUGGGUAAGACGGGUGCCAGCCGCCGCGGUAAUACCUGCAGCUCAAGUGGUGGCCGCUAUUAUUGGGCCUAAAACGUCCGUAGCCGGUUCUAUAAAUGCCUGGGUAAAUCGUACGGCUUAACCGUACGAAUUCCGGGUAGACUGUUCAACUUGGGACCGGGAGAGGCUAGAGGUACUCCUGGGGUAGAGGUGAAAUUCUGUAAUCCUAGGGGGACCACCAGUGGCGAAGGCGUCUAGCUAGAACGGGUCUGACGGUGAGGGACGAAGCCCUGGGGAGCAAACGGGAUUAGAUACCCCGGUAGUCCAGGGUGUAAACGCUGCUCGCUUGAUGUUAGUCGGGCUCCGAGCCCAACUAGUGUCGGAGAGAAGUUGUUAAGCGAGCUGCCUGGGGAGUACGGUCGCAAGACUGAAACUUAAAGGAAUUGGCGGGGGAGCACCGCAACGGGUGGAGCGUGCGGUUUAAUUGGAUUCAACGCCGG
rnacentral:rRNA from 1 species